UUUCCGUAGGUGAACCUGCGGAAGGAUCAUUGUCGAGACCGAAGCAUAUCAAGCGAUUCAGAGAACUCGUGAAGUGAGUGGUAGCGGCUGCCACCGUGGGACGACCGUCCCGGUCGUUGCCUUAUCCCCUCUUGGGAGUGGCGCGGGGGCACAGACGAGGACAAAUGAAACACAAACCGGCGCAGCUCCGCGCCAAGGGAAAAUCGAAAGGCACGGGCCCCAUGUCAGGCUCGGUGGCACAGAGCACCGUCGCGCUCCCUGCGGAUGGACACGGCCCUCAACAAUGGAUAUAUCGGCUCUU
rnacentral:misc_RNA from 1 species